rnacentral:lncRNA from 1 species
CCACUCUUCAAGGUCAGCUUGAAAGGGCAGAAGCAAGCAAACCACAGAGGCAUUGCUGCUGGGUGAGAGCCAGAGGUCCAGGCAGGUGGGGAAGCAGCCGCUUUAGAGAGUUUUUCUGCAGAUGCAGAGAUGGAUGCCCAGGCAUCGAUCCCUUCUGAAGAUGAAUCACGGGCCGCCAACCCAGUCUCAGAGCAUCGGAUGAAGCAACAUUGUCUUCCUCUCUCCCUCUGAGUGUGGGAGCGAGAAUGGCAGGGGUAUUUCCAGUCCCCUCCUGUGAGGCCUCCAGGACAGAGGGGACAGAUCCAGGAGGGCCCUCAAUAGUGCCUACACAGAGCCCGCUCUCAUCCCUGUCUCCUUGCUGCUCCCACCUGGCUCAGCCCAGCAGGCGGUAGACGCUCUGACGGGAAAUGUGACUCUCCUUAUUGGAUCCCACUGUGCUCUGGGCAGAAUCCUGUGACACCUCCGGCUGAAGCUCUCACAGGCAGGGACUCCAUCUGUUCGGG